rnacentral:misc_RNA from 1 species
UGUACUUCCUACUCAUAGCUGGA